UUUUUGUUUGGGGCAAAGAUUCAUGAAGUUCCCAAAUUGCAUGAGGAAGGAUCUCCUAAAAUGCCACUGCAAGGUGCUCAUGUUAUAAGGAUGGUCCGAGAUGGCUAUUUUGGCUUUAAAGACUAUUUUGAAUCUCUAUGUGAUACUGUGGAUGGUGGCUGCAGCUGAUAAAGCAUUUGCGGAUCCAAAUAAGUGGACUCAGAUGAGCAUCCUUAGCACAGUCGGGUAGGGGAGAUUUAGCAGCGAUAGAACAAUCCUUGACUACGCGGAGAAGACGUGGGGAAUUGAACCAUGCAAAUACCCUUCUGAUGGCUAGCUCACCCUCAAGCUUACCCUCAUCCACACCCCAGUAGCAACAUUUUACAUAUUUGAAUGGAAGGUG